rnacentral:sRNA from 1 species
GCUGGGUGUGGUGGCUCAUGCCUGUAAUCCCCAGUGGCUCAGGAGGCUGAGGCAGGAGGAUUUCAAGUUCAAAGCCAAUCUCAGCAAUUUAGCAAGGCCGUAGGCAACUUAGUGAGAGCCUGUCUCGA